rnacentral:rRNA from 1 species
UACGUAGGGGGCUAGCGUUGUCCGGAUUUAUUGGGCGUAAAGAGCGUGUAGGCGGCUAGAUAGGUCCGUUGUGAAAACUCAAGGCUCAACCUCGAGACGUCGAUGGAAACCAUCUGGCUAGAGUCCGGAAGAGGAGAGUGGAAUUCCUGGUGUAGCGGUGAAAUGCGCAGAUAUCAGGAGGAACACCAAUAGCGAAGGCAGCUCGCUGGGACGUUACUGACACUGAGGCGCGAAAGCGUGGGGAGCGAACAGG